UGAAAUUUUAGAAAUCUCCCACCAAUCGAUUAAGGCAUUUCCCUCUAAAAAUUGGUCAAAACCCUAGUGGAGUCAAAAAGUGAUAAGCAUCAGACCACUAAUUUAACUAAUUGUGUUGUUUGAUUAUAUGGCGAGUCCACUCAUUUGAUUUUUGUUUUUGUUUUUGUUUUUGUCCAAGGCAAAUUGCCUUUGCCUUUUGUCUAAGCCCGAUUUUAAACUCUGUGCCUUUUUCUCUCAAGUCUCUCAGCUCAACUGAUCUCAAACUGGGCAUCUCUCAAGUCUGUAGCGAACCCCCAGCCAUCGACCACAGAGCACCCGCGGCCCUACCGGAACCCUAAUCUCAGAUUCAUCAACGGAGGUGCAUUUGAACAAAACCCUAAUUUCAGCAGCGGCGGUGCAUUUGAAGAAAAUCCUGAUAGCCCAUCUAACAAUCGUCUGAGAAGGACCCGUUGAAGGAAGUAGAGGUACGAGUUGAUCUAGAGGAAGGUCCACCAGAUCCUAGGUCGAAAAUUUGGGGGAUUAAUUUGAAGAAGAAGAAGAAAUUUGGGGGAUUAAUUUUUGGAGGGCUUGAAGUCUUCAUCGAAGUUGAUUGACGCGUUUUUGUUUGGUUGCCCAAAAUACCACCGGCACUCUCUUUCUCACCUUUAUCAGUUGAUCAAUCAGGAGCGGUCGAGCUAAUAGCUGGAAAUUGGAAUCAGUUGUAGAUCUUUGAAACAAAGAAAAACAAGUAUUUAUGAAGUUCUCCAGACAAUAACGUGUUCUCUUGCUUCAGAGAGAGGGGAGAAGUUGGGUGAUUCAGUUGGAUAUAAGGUUCGGUUAGAGACUUAGAAGGCAUGAAAGGAAGAGAUACAUCCCUUCUCUUCUGCACCACUAGCAUUUUUGUUGAGAAGAUUGCUAGUUGAUGGAAAUUUGAAAGGUAUAACUCAUGUCAUUGUGGAUGAGAUUCAUGAACGCAGAAUGAAUGAAGAUUUUCUGCUUCUUGUUCUCAAGGACCUCCUUCCUUCGGCUAGAACUGAGGUUGAUUCUGAUGAGUGCAACCCUAGAUUUUGAGCUUUUCUGGCAGGGCACAGAUAAUUCAUGUUCCAGGUCUUACAUACCCUGUUCGAACUCAUUUUCUGUAGGAUGUUUUGGAAAGUACGGGUUGCAGGUUAACUCCAUACAAUCAGAUUGAUGAAAGUGCAAGGCAUAGUGCUUAAGAUGCAUUUGCUUGUAUGAGAUUAACAUUUUGGCAUAGUGCUUUUUGUAAUCACAAGGCAAAGUAGUAAUUGAAGUGAUUGUAAAAAGCUGGUGGUGGUGGGACUUUGAGUUUGGAAUUUGGAGUGCUCAGCCAAUUGACAAAUGAUCCUAAUUCCUCACUUGAGACCUGCUGAAUAUAAGAGAACUGGUAAUGCAGCAGAAGUGCUGUGUUCUAUAUUGGGCAAAAGGCAGAAAUAUACAUAAAGAGAGAGAACUGGUAAGCAGCAAAAGUUUAGCAUUCUAGCAGACUAAGGAGGCCACGCCACAGGAGGAAAAACAAAUGUCCAAGUGCUAGAGUACAUUGAAAUUAUUUGCUAUCCAGCUUCAAUAGUUAGAUUUCAUGGAACAAUUAAUGACUAUUGUAAAUGUAUUUUGGUGGCUGUAAUAACAGAAUAUAUGUAUUUUUAAUGAGUGAAAUGACUUUUGGGGUUUUCAGAAUGAAUGAGAACAUCAAUGAA